AUUGAACGCUGGCGGCAGGCCUAACACAUGCAAGUCGAGCGAGCGGCGGACGGGUGAGUAAUGUAUGGGGACUGCCCGAUAGAGGGGGCUAACUACUGGAACCGGUGGCUAAUACCGCUUACUACCGGUUAAGCCAUAUGGGAUUAGCUAGUAGGUGGGGUAAAGGCUCACCUAGGCGACGAUCCCUAGCUGGUCUGAGAGGAUGAUCAGCCACACUGGGACUGAGACACGGCCCAGACUCCUACGGAGGCAGCAGUGGGGAAUAUUGCGCAAUGGGCGAAAGCCUGAUGCAGCCAUGCCGCGUGUAUGAAGAAGGCCUUAGGGUUGUAAAGUACUUUCAGCGGGGAGGCGUUACCCGAAGAAGAAGCACCGGCUAACUCCGUGCCAGCAGCCGCGGUAAUUC
rnacentral:rRNA from 1 species